GGGGCAACCCCUGAGUAAAGCGGCGGACGGGUGAGGAACACGUAGGUAAUCUGCCCUUCGAUGGAGGACAACGGUCCGAAAGGACCGCUAAUACUGCAUACGUUUCCCGGGAUUCCGGUCCUGGGAAGGAAAGUCUCGCAAGGGACGUCGAAGGAGGAGCCUGCGUCGCAUCAGCUAGUUGGUGGGGUAACGGCCUACCAAGGCGAAGACGCGUAGCUGGUCUGAGAGGAUGAUCAGCCACACUGGGACUGAGACACGGCCCAGACUCCUACGGGAGGCAGCAGUGGGGAAUAUUGGACAAUGGGCGAAAGCCUGAUCCAGCCACGCCGCGUGAGUGAUGAAGGCCUUCGGGUCGUAAAGCUCUGUGGGGAGGGACGAACGUCCCCGUGAAGAACGGGGGGUGACGGUACCUCCUUAGCAAGCACCGGCUAACUUCGUGCCAGCAGCCGCGGUAA
rnacentral:rRNA from 1 species